UACGGGGGGAGCAAGCGUUGUUCGGAUUUACUGGGCGUAAAGGGCGCGUAGGCGGUCAGCACAAGUCAGUUGUGAAAUCUCCGGGCUUAACCCGGAAAGGUCAACUGAUACUGUGCGACUAGAGUGCGGAAGGGGCAACUGGAAUUCUCGGUGUAGCGGUGAAAUGCGUAGAUAUCGAGAGGAACACCUGCGGCGAAGGCGGGUUGCUGGGCCGACACUGACGCUCAUGCACGAAAGCGUGGGGAGCAAACAGG
rnacentral:rRNA from 1 species